GGUGUUGGUAGUACAAGGAAAGAAGUACGGCAUCAGGCUGCAGAAAUAUCUUUAAGAAAUUUGGCAAGUAAGUUUGUUUUAUUGCAUAUUUGUACUAAUCUCUCCAGUUUCGUUUUCGCAGAUAUAAGAUAAUAUGUUAUGUAAUCAAGAGAUUCAUUUUAAAUUUGGAUUGUUCACAUGUUUACUCAAAGCAUAUAUGCUCUACUGUGUGGAGUUGAUUUUUCCCUUUUUAGCACCAUCUAUCUUGGAAUUAGAUAGGAUACUGUGAGAAUAUAAUGAUGACUAUUUCUUGAUGGGUACUUGCUGCAUGAUUUUUCCACUGCAUGUCCAAGUUUACAUGUGAAAGGAUCUUGCUGGAUUCCACUCUACUGGUUCAUCUGAAUUACUGAAUACAGAUGCAGCUCUCCUAUAUCUUCACUAAUUUCCUCUGUAGGUUCCUGUUUAGGGAGAAAAGAAAAUCCUGUUAUCCUCGUCCAGAGAUAGACCAUUUGGCACCAAUGAAUCAGCUGUUGAGUACAAAUAAUGUGGGAAGUUCUUCUUUGGCAAUCACGAUGUGUUCGUACAUAUGUUUGAAAGGAUCAUGUUGAUAGUGUUGCUACUUGCUACCAAUGCUUUUGUUGAGGAGGCUGCAGAUCUGUUGUGUUUGCUGCUGGGUCCUGGUUGCCCUGGAGUGUUAAAUUCAGAACGUAAGUGAAUGAUCACUGUACCGCAGCCACCCGGCUUGGCACAAGAUAGGAAAAGUGGUUUGGUGUACAAGGAGACUACAACUUUUUUGUUAAGGACUGCUGGGGCCAAGUCUGGUGGAUCUGUUUAAUUUUUGCAGCAGGGCAGUUCCGUGCUCCUUUUAUUGCCCAAAUGCAGUACAUAGGGCAGGAGGGGCAGGGCGGAGGUUCGACCUCCUGCACCUUCCAUCCCAGGCCUAUCUUUGUCAUUCUCGGCGGCCGGCCGAGCUCUGCGCUCCGGAACAACCAAAACAUGCUUGAGAUCUCAGUAAAAAAGGAUUUUUUUACUGUGUUUACUCUAAAAAUUGUUCUGGCC